ACCUUAGUUUGCCGCCCCUCCCUCUCUUGUAGGAGAAAAAAAAACUUCUUUUUCAUUCUUCUCAUCUCCUCUUUAAAUCAACCCAUUCCUGCCAUCAUCUUCUUCAUUAAAGUCUAGGGUUUUAUGGUUUAGAAAGAGAAAACUUUGACUAGAGAGAGAAAGUUUCGAUAAGGGUAAGAAACAUGUUUUUCAGAAUUUUCACCUUCUUUAUUUAAGGUUGUGUUUAAAAUGUGAUGAGCAUGCUUUGAUAACUUGUGUAUAUUUUUGUGUUGGGUGGAGAAAAAGAGAAAGAAGAGGAGAGAAGGGUUCCAAGCAUGGAGAAAGUGAAAAUGAAGGAUUAGAGAGAAGCCUUGUUUUUUGUUAAUGAUUACCUAGAAGAAAUUUUUCCCAUCUGUUUUUGACAAAAUCCAAGGCAGAUUCAGAAUUGAAGAGGGAGAUUCCUCUAACCAGGUGGGAGAUUAACAGUAAUCAAAUCCACACGGCCCUAUAAAUGUUUGUAAUUCUAAAGCUGUCCGAAAUUUUUGGUGGAAGCACAAGGCAGAUAAAAGAAAGAUUCGCUUUCUCAAUUGGAAGAAAGAGAAGAACAACCUACAUUCUACUUAGAAACCUCUGAUAUCAAAUUAGGUAUAUCAAACACUAGAAAGAGAUAAAUACAUAAACUUUAGUUUAAUAUGCAAUUGUAUAUAUGAAUUUUAAUUUGAUGUAAUUUUACACAUGAACUUUGAUUGCGGUUAGAAUGUAUACGUGAAACUUAAUUUUAAUUCAA